rnacentral:rRNA from 1 species
GUGUCAGCAGCCGCGGUAAUACAGAGGUCCCGAGCGUUGUUCGGAUUCAUUGGGCGUAAAGGGUGCGUAGGCGGCGGGGUAAGUCUGAUGUGAAAUCCUGGGGCUCAACCCCAGAACUGCAUUGGAUACUGCCUUGCUAGAGUACUGGAGAGGAAACUGGAAUUUACGGUGUAGCAGUGAAAUGCGUAGAGAUCGUAAGGAAGACCAGUGGCGAAGGCGAGUUUCUGGACAGUAACUGACGCUGAGGCACGAAGGCCAGGGGAGCAAACGGGAUUAGAAACCCCAGUAGUCC